UGUGGGAUCCCUGACCACGGGCUUGUCAUUGUUGGCUUUUUCAGCUCGCAGUUCGUGAGAAGAAUGCUCAGGACAACUAGGUUCUUGUUUCCUCCUCUUUCUUUGGUGCGCACUCUGGCACGACUGAAGGUGGAUGUGUUUUUCCUCCCCCAGAUCAAGACUCAGAUCUGGGACAGGGAGAUGGCGGGGCAGGGCAGGGAGGUCGCUUACUUGAAAUUCAGGUGUGGUCAUUUGACUUGCGUUUUUAUGGGUGUUUCCAGGGAUGAUGCCUGCACUGUUUGUUGUCUAGUAGACGACGCGGUGUUGCGACUCUUCUAGAAGUCCAUUAUUUUUCUGUAUCCAAGACUGGACGGGAUGGAAGCGAAGAGGCUGCCUGAGGGAUACACGAGGCAGAAACCAAUGGCUGCAAGACCAGAGACGCAGAACCCUCCAAAGAGAAGGUCUUUGGUAGAUCCAGAAACUGCUGAAACCUCUGUGAGUUAGAGCAGCUCUGACUGUACCAAGAAUGCAGACAAGGACAAGGACAGGACCCUUGCCAGUUUACUUCCGCAGACAUGGGCAGUGAUGUGUGGUGGCAUCCAGUGGCAGGGACAGAGUUUUCGGGGCAGUCUGGAUCCUGGGGACCUCCUCCGUUAACUGGACGAUUCUGCAUGCCCUACCCUGGAGACGCCCCGCCCCCAUGGACUAUUAGGCACGUCCACCUCCUGAACCCUGGUGGCCCUGGCGCCACCCGGAACCCCUCCACCUGCAACACUUGGUAAGAUGAUCUGAGCACUAGGAGUUGACUUGUAAAACACACUCACCUUAUUUUUGUUGCUGUUAGGUCUUGGGCCAAGGUGCAGAGGAGGUACCACAGACCAUUGUGAUGCAAGCAGAAUGUCUGCUGCCAUUACCACAUUCCUCAAGUUUCUCAGGAUCUCGUCUUUGUCCUUUCCCCCACCAUGGGUGGGUACAGGCGUCUCUUGUGGAGAAGGAAUGGGGCCGUAUGCAGCAAAUCAGACAUAGCGCCUCAGCAGAAAUGCCCCGUACACAGUCCACAUGCUGGGAUCUGUGAGGCAUGAGGCACAACGUAACGUACGUCCAUCUAGUUGUGCCCCCAGCCAUCCAUAGUUGUUCGCUGAGUGAGGAAUACAUCUGAAUCAGGGCUUUUGGGAGUCUUCAUCAAGUUAUAAGGGAUGGUUCUUCAAGUUCUUCUUGGGGAUCACCGGAGGCAUGUGGGACACCCUGUGCAUGUAAUUUGGGAUCUGACUGGGGCAAAGAGUUUAAGUUGUCGGAAGUAUGAGGGGAGGGUUUUUUGUUUUGUUUUUGGUCUCCAAACAGUCUACUCAAGUCAGAAUAAACCUCCAUCCCUUCUAGGGCUUUUUGCAGGUCCAGAAGUAGGUGUCACAACCAAGAGUGACAUCGACACUGGCUCUGCCAAAACUGCCAAGAAGCACAAAGUAAAUGCUGUGGCCAUUUUCAGUUCUAAGUCUUUACGGACCGCCACAUCUUUCUGUACAGGACACUCUCCUGCCAUUGUCUCUGGUUUGUGUGUCGUAUGGUAUGUCUGCUGUUUUGUUUUUUUUCCCCAAAUGCAAAACCUUUACUGCUGAGUCUACGGGCUUCCCUGUUUCCCAGCUAGCAUCUGUUUGUAGUAACUUGAGCAGCUAAGCGUGCCUAAAGGCUAUUUUGUAUGCAAGAGUCCUGGUCCUUUCCCAGGAUUGCCUUGCAGGCUGUACCUCAUGGACCACCCUUCACCACCAGUCAUGGGCUAUAGGCCACAUCCCCCUCCUCCACCUACUCUCUUUGUUAAGAUGACCUGACCUGGAUGAGUGGCUGCUAAAGUAUAUUCAUCUUCUUCAUGAUUGACUUUGUGGCAAUGAUGUAGAGACGGUUGUGAGUCUUGGCAAUCCAACUACAAACUGCCUGAGGACACUGUAGCAUGUCUCAAGUUUCUCAGGACAUACAUACAAUGGGCAGUGUCAUGUCCCUGUAAUACAGUGAGCUAUACGUUUCUCUUGUCAAAUGAAAGAGGAUUUUUUACACAAAAGCAGAUGUAUCAGCGGUACUGGUGUGUAUGUUGGAGAUACAAUGUUUUGGGUUCUGUAAUGAAUGAGGUGCACCCCCUAACUUUUAGAGUAUCAGGUGUCCUGUGUGAAAGAGGGACAUUCAUUAAAUGAUGCAGACCUUGUGAUCACCAAAAUGGAAACACCAGUGAAGGAUCCAGUGCAAAACGGGGAGCCUUGAAUCAUACAGGAAUAGAAGGGAAGUUGAGCACAGUAAUCAGAGUUUGAGGAGGUGCAGAGGGGAGGGUGUUGGGGUCAGUGAGAUGCAGUUGGAGGUCAUUCCUGGCCACAGCCUGAGCAGGGAGUGUGAGGUCCACACGGAGCUGCUAUGUGGGAUCGAUUUCAGUGCACAAUGUAGCGUUCAUCUCCAAAAUGUCAGUGUGUUGCCAAAGUGCACGCAGGUAAUCACCUAAAAAGAUUCUUGUCUCCCUGGAUUUUCCUGAAGGUUCUGGAUAUUUGUGGGGGGAAAAGAGCCCUGGAGAUAUGGGGAAUUUAACUUGGUCUUAUGAAAAUGCUGUAUGCCCAAGUUCAUAUCCCUCAGACUAAAAGUGGAGACAGGGUCUAGAUCAGCUGAGUCAUCCUACAAUUCAGGGCUGGCCAGAUGCCACCACUGCUGGACCCCUGCCAUCACCCUGACUACAGCUUUGCAUCUCCUCAGACUUCUCUCACAAUAUUAUAAUGCUUUGCCUGUGUUCCUGCUGUCUCAGCCCUAAUACCAGUUCUCAGUGGGACCUACACAGAGCCUCAGCUGUGUUAUCUGUGAAAACAGGGGUAAUAUGUGUUUCUAAGAACAAGAGAAAAAGAAGACAUUCAGUGCAUAAAGCAUCUGCAAAAUCUCUGGGAAGUGUCCCCUCACGCUUCUCACAGUUUCAAUUAAGAUAUUUCCACACAAUGAUCCUCCAAAAAAGAUAGUCACGGGAGUUCAUUAAACUAAGACUGUUAACAACUCAGCCCAGGGUGGGAAUCACUGUUUUAAAAAAUAAGACAAUGUCCUUCGUUUUUCUAUUAGAAUUCGGGCCCUGCCACACAAUGAAAGAAAAGAUAAUUAUGAGAAUGUGUACAUUCAGAGACCUAGAUCUGAAGACAAUCAUUUUCUAUUACACAUAAUCUCACAGAUGCAGCCACACACUAAAGUGUUCAUCUGAGGCCACAGCCACAGAUAAACUACAGAAGACAGAAUGCAUGUAGGAAAACAUAAGAUCAGAGGGAAAUAAACCAAAAUCUCUUUGCCUUA